rnacentral:rRNA from 1 species
UACGGGGGGAGCAAGCGUUGUUCGGAUUUACUGGGCGUAAAGGGCGCGUAGGCGGUCAGCACAAGUCAGUUGUGAAAUCUCCGGGCUUAACUCGGAAAGGUCAACUGAUACUGUGCGACUAGAGUGCAGAAGGGGCAACUGGAAUUCUCGGUGUAGCGGUGAAAUGCGUGGAUAUCGAGAGGAACACCAGUGGCGAAGGCGGUGCUCUGGGCCGGAACUGACGCUGAGGAGCGAAAGCGUGGGGAGCAAACAGG